rnacentral:piRNA from 1 species
UGUCAGGGUCGGUGGCUUACAUCCAUUA